rnacentral:rRNA from 1 species
GACGAACGCUGGCGGCGUGCUUAACACAUGCAAGUCGAACGGAAAGGCCCUGCGUUUGUGGGGUGCUCGAGUGGCGAACGGGGGAGUAACACGUGAGUAACCUGCACUUGACUUUGGGAGAACAUCAGGAAAAUGGGGCUAAUACCGGAUAGGAGAUCCUGAAGCAUGGGGGGGGUUGGAAAGUUUCGGCGGUGGUGGAUGGACUCGCGGGUUAUCAGCUUGUUAGUGGGGUAGUGGCUGACCAAGGCUGUGAAGGGUAGCCGGCCUGGGCGGGUGACCGGCCACAUUGCGCCUGCGAUACGCAGCAGACGCCUACGUGAGGCAGUAGUCGGGAACAUUACGCAAUGGGCGGACGCCUGAUGCGGCAGCGCCGCGUUCGUGAUGCCGUCCUUCGGGUUGUAAACCGCUUUCGCCUUUGCCGAAGCGUGAGUGACGGUAAUGGGUAAAGAAGCACCGGCUAACUACGUG